GAGGCUAUAGCUCAGUGGUAGAGUGCUUGCACACAGUCCUGGGUUCAAUCCCUAGUACCUCCA
rnacentral:tRNA from 1 species